rnacentral:rRNA from 1 species
UAGUGGCGAACGGGUGAGUAACACGUGGGCAAUCUGCCCUUCACUCUGGGACAAGCCCUGGAAACGGGGUCUAAUACCGGAUACCACUCCUGCCCGCAUGGGUGGGGGUUGAAAGCUCCGGCGGUGAAGGAUGAGCCCGCGGCCUAUCAGCUUGUUGGUGGGGUAAUGGCCCACCAAGGCGACGACGGGUAGCCGGCCUGAGAGGGCGACCGGCCACACUGGGACUGAGACACGGCCCAGACUCCUACGGGAGGCAGCAGUGGGGAAUAUUGCACAAUGGGCGAAAGCCUGAUGCAGCGACGCCGCGUGAGGGAUGACGGCCUUCGGGUUGUAAACCUCUUUCAGCAGGGAAGAAGCGAAAGUGACGGUACCUGCAGAAGAAGCGCCGGCUAACUACGUGCCAGCAGCCGCGGUAAUACGUAGGGCGCAAGCGUUGUCCGGAAUUAUUGGGCGUAAAGAGCUCGUAGGCGGCUU